rnacentral:rRNA from 1 species
AGUGAACGCUGGCGGUAGGCCUAACACAUGCAAGUCGAACGGCAGCACAGUAAGAGCUUGCUCUUACGGGUGGCGAGUGGCGGACGGGUGAGGAAUACAUCGGAAUCUACUUUUUCGUGGGGGAUAACGUAGGGAAACUUACGCUAAUACCGCAUACGACCUACGGGUGAAAGCAGGGGAUCUUCGGACCUUGCGCGAUUGAAUGAGCCGAUGUCGGAUUAGCUAGUUGGCGGGGUAAAGGCCCACCAAGGCGACGAUCCGUAGCUGGUCUGAGAGGAUGAUCAGACACACUGGAACUGAGACACGGUCAAGACUCCUACGGGAGGCCGCAGUGGGGAAUAUUGGACAAUGGGCGCAGGCCUAAUCCAGCCAUACCGCGUGGGUGAAGAAGGCCUUCGGGUUGUAAAGCCCUUUUGUUGGGAAAGAAAAGCAGCAGGUUAAUACCCCGCUGUUCUGACGGUACCCAAAGAAUAAGCACCGGCUAACUUCGUG